GAUAGUGUUUUAAGGAAGAAAAACAAAGUCAAAAUCUUGUCUAUUGUACUGUCUAGCCUAGUUUCAAAUUUAGUAUUAUGAAUUGAACAUGCUAUUAGGUUAAUCUCAAGUGCACCGUAUUUUUAUUUAUUUUUCACUCCUACGAACCUUUGGGUUGGGAUUUGAUUCUUGCUCUAUAAUCUUUCAGUUAGGUGAAUUUGUUCUUUGCCGUGCCCUCUCCAAUGGUGCCAUCCUAUUGUUCAAAUUUAAUGCUAUUACAUUUCAUUUUGGCUUUCUUAGUUAUGGUUUUGGUAGCUGGUAUGUCACAGUUUGUCUAUUCUUACUUCUCGAAAGAAAAAAUAUAUAAA
rnacentral:lncRNA from 1 species